rnacentral:tRNA from 1 species
GGGUCGGUGUCAGAGUGGUCGAAUGAGCUCGCCUGGAAAGCGUGUGUGGCAGUGAUGUCACCGAGGGUUCGAAUCCCUCCCGGCCCGCCA